AUUGAACGCUGGCGGCAGGCCUAACACAUGCAAGUCGAGCGGAUGAGGAGAGCUUGCUCUCUGAUUUAGCGGCGGACGGGUGAGUAAUGCCUAGGAAUCUGCCUGGUAGUGGGGGAUAACGUCCGGAAACGGGCGCUAAUACCGCAUACGUCCUACGGGAGAAAGCAGGGGACCUUCGGGCCUUGCGCUAUCAGAUGAGCCUAGGUCGGAUUAGCUAGUUGGUGAGGUAAUGGCUCACCAAGGCGACGAUCCGUAACUGGGCUGAGAGGAUGAUCAGUCACACUGGAACUGAGACACGGGCCAGACUCCUGCGGGAGGCAGCAGUGGGGAAUAUUAGACAAUGGGCGAAAGCCUGAUCCAGCCAUGCCGCGUGUGUGAAGAAGGUCUUCGGAUUGUAAAGCACUUUAAGUUGGGAGGAAGGGCAGUAAGUUAAUACCUUGCUGUUUUGACGUUACCGACAGAAUAAGCACCGGCUAACUUCGUGCCAGCCGCCGCAGUAA
rnacentral:rRNA from 1 species